rnacentral:rRNA from 1 species
UGACCUACGGGAGGCAGCAGUGGGGAAUAUUGGUCAAUGGGCGCGAGCCUGAACCAGCCAAGUCGCGUGAGGGAAGACGGUCCUAUGGGUUGUAAACUUCUUUUAUAUGGGAAUAAAACAGGGUAUGCAUACCCUCUUGUAUGUACCAUAUGAAUAAGGAUCGGCUAACUCCGUGCCAGCAGCCGCGGUAAUACGGAGGAUCCGAGCGUUAUCCGGAUUUAUUGGGUUUAAAGGGAGCGUAGGUGGAUUGUUAAGUCAGUUGUGAAAGUUUGCGGCUCAACCGUAAAAUUGCAGUUGAAACUGGC